AGAAGAAACAUGACUACAAACAAUCUUGUACAAAGAUUAAAUUAUAAAGUGUAAGAUAUGUAAAGAUUCAAAAAUCAAAUGGUACUUCUUAAAAGUUGACCACUAUUAAAUUGCUUUUUCAACUCGUGUCCUCGUGAGUGAAUACAAUUUAUAUAAAUGACAUAUAAUAUACUUUAUAUCGUAUCAGCAUUAUUCAAUAAAGUAUUCAGGCUCUUAAAAAUUUAUAUAAUAAGAUAUGUGAAGCAUGCCAUAUUUUUUUUUUAAUUAACUAUAUAGUUAUUCAACAAUUUAAAGUUCAACGAAAAAAGAAAAAUAAAAUGGAAAAAAAAGAAAGAAAAAAAAAAGACAAAAGAAAAGACUGUUUUUGGGAAACUUUUAUAUAAGAAAUAUGAUAAAAAUUUGUAGUUUUUCGUUAACUGAUUAUAAUCGAAACUGACCAAUCAUAGAAAAAAAUAAUAGAUCAACGUUUAUCAAUCUAUGAUAUACAAGAAUAAUAUGUGGAUAAUUUAUAUAUAAAUUUAUAUAAUAUUUUACAAAAAAAUAAUGGAUUUUACAAUUAAAAUUCCUACCUUGAUCAUACUGAACGAAUUUUAGUUGUGAAAAAAUCUAUUGACUUAUAAUAGAAUUACUAAUAAAGUCUAAUUAUAGAAAUACUGAUUUAUAUAGUAUACAAUGAACUCUAUUAAUUUGUAUAUUAUAAAUAUUUGAAUUAUAAAUAAAUAUGUUGAGUCACAUAACAAAAAGAUUGAGAAUUGCUGAUUUAUAUGAUCAAUUAAUAUUUUUUGCCAACAAUUUUUAUGAUAAUUUUGGCUCUUUUAAAGAAGAGAGCCCAUCAACAUUUCUUUAAUUUGAUAAAAGGAACGAUUGAACGAUGCUGUUACGAUACAAGCAUAUAUUUAUAUGUAUAAUGUAUUUACAUUGUAUGCAUAUCGCAUACAAAGAGUGCACUCUCUUUUUUCCGUACAGCGUUAGUUUAAUUGGUGACAUUUCAGUAGAGAAUGUCAUCAGUGGUGACGUUUGUUUCAAGUAGCCAAGAAAAGAGGAUCAUUGUAUAGCUUAGUGUAUCAUAAUUCGUGUAGCCCUGGUUUUAUCGAACUCCUGACUGUUUCAUUGUCGUUCGAUGCAAGCAAUGGAACGCCGGAUACCAUUUUUUAAUUAAAUAUUCAUUUUUAUUUCUUUUAAUUUAAACAUUAUAAAAUUCUGCUGCUUUCAGUUCUAUUUUUGCAACAUUUUUGCUAUUUUAUGAUUUAUUAUUUCUUGUUAUUAGAAUAGAUAGAAUAAUUGAUACGUACAAGUAUUAUCCAUUUCUUAAAAAUUUCAUAAAAAUACUCUUUAAAAAAAUGUUAUUAGAGAAGUAAUUCUUUCCAAAUAAUUGACAUUAAAACAUCAUUUGAGAAAAUAUCAUGAAUAAUAAUAUAUUGACUUAUAUCCUUAAUAUUUUUCAGAUCUUCAUUUUUCUGCAAAAGAAUAACAGAAAGAUAAAAUAUAAGUAUUGCAAUAAUUUUUUAUUAUGAAUAGUGAUAUUUAUCUGAAGUUAUUAUAAUGAAAUUGUUGAAAAAUAUGGAAAAUAUUAUAGUAUAUUAUAGUAUAUUAAAAAAACAAUAUAUUGUGACAAAGUACGUAUUUUGCUAUACAGAGAUGCAAGUUCUCAAGAAAAAAAUGUAUAAUUAGACUUAUAAAAAAUUGAAGUCUUUAUCUUUGAAGAAAUUGUGUUCUCCAUGAUAUAUUGAUCAAGAUAAUUUUAUAUAAAGAAAUUCUUCUGUUAAAAUAAAAUAUUUGGAAGGUAUCCGGCUUUCCUCAAUAUUCCUAAUUUUUAAUAAUAAUGAUGAAAACAUGCCCGGAUAUGCGUAAUAUCAUUAAUAUAUUACGUGAAAGCACACUGCCGCAAUUUUGUAUGAUUAACUAUUGUUAUAUAUAUCUAUAUCUACAUAUUAUGCUACGUAUAUAUUAAUUGAAACUUGAAUACAAUUGAUAUAUGUUUGACGAAAGAUUCAAGGUUGUAAAAUUUGACGUCUUUGCAUUCUUUCCAAGCGUUUUCGGUUCGUUCAAUCUGGAAAGAAAUCUAUUUGAAAAUACGAAAAAAAAGCAUUAAAAGUGCAAUCUUAAUGGAAUACAUUAUUAGAUGAACUAAUAAAACAAUUUUUCAAUCUUUUUGAAUU
rnacentral:lncRNA from 1 species